GUGGGGAAUCUUCCGCAAUGGACGAAAGUCUGACGGAGCAACGCCGCGUGAGUGAUGAAGGUCUUCGGAUUGUAAAGCUCUGUUAAUCGGGACGAUAGAGCCUAGUGUGAAUAAUGCUAGGAAGUGACGGUACCGGAAUAGAAAGCCACGGCUAACUACGUGCCAGCAGCCGCGGUAAUACGUAGGUGGCAAGCGUUGUCCGGAAUUAUUGGGCGUAAAGCGCGCGCAGGCGGAUCUGCCAGUCUGUCUUAAAAGUUCGGGGCUUAACCCCGUGAUGGGAUGGAAACUACAGAUCUAGAGUAUCGGAGAGGAAAGUGGAAUUCCUAGUGUAGCGGUGAAAUGCGUAGAUAUUAGGAAGAACACCAGUGGCGAAGGCGACUUUCUGGACGAAAACUGACGCUGAGGCGCGAAAGCCAGGGGAGCGAACGGGAUUAGAAACCCCUGUAGUCC
rnacentral:rRNA from 1 species